rnacentral:misc_RNA from 1 species
GGAACCAGGCGCCCGUCGGAGGACCAACCAAAACUCUUUUGUAUGUCCCCUCGCGGACUUUUAUUAUUCUGAACCAUCUCGGCGCCCCUAGCGGGCGUUUCGAAAAUGAAUCAAAACUUUCAACAACGGAUCUCUUGGUUCUGGCAUCGAUGAAGAACGCAGCGAAAUGCGAUAAGUAAUGUGAAUUGCAGAAUUCAGUGAAUCAUCGAAUCUUUGAACGCACAUUGCGCCCGCCAGUAUUCUGGCGGGCAUGCCUGUCCGAGCGUCAUUUCAACCCUCGAACCCCUCCGGGGGUCCGGCGUUGGGGAUCGGCCCUUUACGGGGCCGGCCCCGAAAUACAGUGGCGGUCUCGCCGCAGCCUCUCCUGCGCAGUAGUUUGCACACUCGCACCGGGAGCGCGGCGCGUCCACGUCCGUAAAACACCCAACUUCUGAAAGGUGA